UCUGCAGGAUUGUGUGUAUCAGUGCUAUGCUCUAUUAUGCAUACCUGCCGAAAGUGUUUCCUGCCAGAUUAAUUCUGGGGAAGAUGGGCAGUUGAGUUCUUGCACAUCUAAUUGUGAAUCUCAACAAUCAUCUUCCUCAUAUUU